rnacentral:tRNA from 1 species
AAUAAAGUGCCUGACAAAAGGAUUAUCUUGAUAGGAUAAAAAAUGCAAACAUAUUGCCUUUAUUA